rnacentral:rRNA from 1 species
GGCUCAGGAUGAACGCUAGCGACAGGCCUAACACAUGCAAGUCGAGGGGCAGCACAAGGAGCAAUCUGAGGUGGCGACCGGCGCACGGGUGAGUAACACGUAUGCAACCUGCCUGUAAGCGGGGAAUAACCCGUUGAAAGACGGACUAAUACCGCAUAAUACUAAAUUACUGCAUGGUAAUUUAUUUAAACAUUUAUGGCUUACAGAUGGGCAUGCGCAUGAUUAGCUAGUUGGAGAGGUAACGGCUCCCCAAGGCAACGAUCAUUAGGGGUUCUGAGAGGAAGGUCCCCCCACACUGGUACUGAGACACGGACCAGACUCCUACGGGAGGCAGCAGUGAGGAAUAUUGGUCAAUGGACGAGAGUCUGAACCAGCCAAGUCGCGUGCAGGAAGAAUUGUCCUAUGGAUUGUAAACUGCUUUUGCAGGGGAAUAAAGUGCAUCACGUGUGACGUUUUGUAUGUACUCUGCGAAUAAGGAUCGGCUAACUCCGUGCCAGCCGCAGC